CAGCAAUCCUGCAGAAUGAGUGACCCUGGGUAUCUGUAUGUCUUGGUAACACAUGUAAAUAAAUGUGACCAAGACCUACAGAUUCUUAGUGUAUACUCAGUUGGACACCUUUACUG
rnacentral:precursor_RNA from 12 species